AGCCUCCACCGUGCUCUGCGCGUGUGUUGCUAGGUGUGGCUGCUUCCUCGACGUUCAAGCGUGGUUUUGAGGUGACCCUCGGCUCGGGUGACAGUUUCCAAGGCAAAAGAUAUGAGUUAGCUGGUUAACUGUCCAAACAGAUCUGACUGAGGACUGGAGAGAGAGCUAAGUGAUGAAGAGCACUGGACGCUUUUGCAAACGACCUGGGUUCAAUUUGCAGCACCUGCAUGAUGGCUCACACAUUUCUAUCAUGGCAGUCCUUCUGACCUCUGCAGGCACAGCAUACAUGUGAUACCCAGACAUACAUACAAGCAAAACACCCAUAAACAAAAAUACACCCCCAAGUUAAAAAUAUGACACAUUCCUAAAGGCAGUUCCACUGUCUGAGUCUCCUGAAUACUGGCAGUACAGACUUGUGCCACCAUGCUCAAUGCCAUUACCAGCUUAAAUGACCAUGGUUGUACAUGUGGCCUCCGAAGUCCGCAGUGUUUUCAUGCUGCACAUGGCCCUCUUGGAAACAGUUGUCAGCCCUCUUGACCUUGAGCACCUUGGACUGUGCCUUCAUGUCCUCUCACCUGCCCUGAGGCUGACCUCUGCAGCUCACACUUUUCACCCCAUGCCUGUCUGUUGCCUGCCCAGGCCACAUUGACUUUUCUCACCAAUGACUUUCUGUAAAUUAUCUUCCUAACUCCUGACAGCUGGUAAUGUAACUUCCUAUGAAUUGCUGGUCCUGAACAGAGAAACCAACCAGUUCUAACUGAGGAGGGCAUUGUACUUGUGUAACAUCUUAAAAGGAACUAUGAAUUCAAGUUUUGCUUUGAUCUUAGCAUGCUCGGGAUAAAUAAAGAUUAUGAUCU
rnacentral:lncRNA from 1 species